CUCGGGAUGCUGCGGGAGUGUCAGUCGGAGCGCUGCGAGGAGAUCCGGAUCGGGGCUUGCUGCUGCGUGGAGCUCGAGGUGCUCAGGUGGGAAGAGCCGCUCCGGGACGGGCGCUGGGACCGAGCCCGGUGCUACCACUCCCUGCUUCGGCCGGCGCGGGGCUGGGGUCCCGCCGGGGCUCUGGGCAGCGGGGAGCCUGGGCUAUGAUGGUGCCGGGCCGCCAGGAAGACGGCGCUUCCCUGGAGUAGCCCCUGGAUCGCGGCUGGCAAUGGCCCGGACAGACGCCACCGACAGCCCAGAAGGACCCCAAGGAGCAGCUGGCAUUACCUGGAAUAGAGGCACGGGCCGUUUGCAGAGAGCCUCAGACAGCAGGUCCCGUUUCUGACCUCCCAGAGCUCCCACACAGCGCCAGAUAUUGAAUCCCAAGCAAUAUACCUUGGAGCUGCCUUAAAAUCAGAGGUUUGAGCGGGAUGAAGUUUGGAACUUUCCAGGGAGCCAGCUGGAAGUGCAGAAGUGAAGGAAAACUUUCGCAGUGAGAAGAACAUGAACUCACAGCCACUGAGGCCUGACAGGUUCCUGCAGUGAGAGCUCAGCGCACAUCCGCAGAGAGAGAGAGGGGAGAUGUGGGGAUUGGAAAACCAGAAACUUCCAGAGACACCAAAAGAUUUGAUCUGCAGCCUGGGAAGAAGCUUGGAUUGAUGUCAAAAUACAAUACACAGG